rnacentral:rRNA from 1 species
UUAUACAGGCAAAUCCGUAUAACAAUACUCCGAGAACUGAAAGGCUUUUUGAAGUCUUCGGAUGGAUAGAAGAACCCCUGAUGCCGUCGAGCCAAGAAAAGUUUCUAAGUUUAGCUAAUGUUGCCCGUACCGUAAACCGACACAGGUGGGUGGGAUGAGUAUUCUAAGGCGCGUGGAAGAACUCUCUUUAAGGAACUCUGCAAAAUAGCACCGUAUCUUCGGUAUAAGGUGUGGUUCGCUUCGUAUUAGGAUUUACUCCGAAAGCGAAGAAACUUACAACAAAGAGUCCCUCCCGACUGUUUACCAAAAACACAGCACUCUGCUAACUCGUAAGAGGAUGUAUAGGGUGUGACGCCUGCCCGGUGCUCGAAGGUUAAUUGAUGGGGUUAGCAUUAGCGAAGCUCUUGAUCGAAGCCCGAGUAAACGGCGGCCGUAACUAUAACGGUCCUAAGGUAGCGAAAUUCCUUGUCGGUUAAAUACCGACCUGCAUGAAUGGCGUAACGAGAUGGGAGCUGUCUCAAAGAGGGAUCCAGUGAAAUUGUAGUGGAGGUGAAAAUUCCUCCUACCCGCGGCAAGACGGAAAGACCCCGUGGACCUUUACUACAGCUUGACACUGCUAUUUGGAUAAGAAUGUGCAGGAUAGGUGGGAGGCUUUGAGUAUAUGACGCCAGUUGUAUAUGAGCCAUUGUUGAGAUACCACUCUUUCUUAUUUGGGUAGCUAACCAGCUUGAGUUAUCCUCAAGUGGGACAAUGUCUGGUGGGUAGUUUGACUGGGGCGGUCGCCUCCCAAAUAAUAACGGAGGCUUACAAAGGUUGGCUCAGAACGGUUGGAAAUCGUUCGUAGAGUAUAAAGGUAUAAGCCAGCUUAACUGCAAGACAUACAAGUCAAGCAGAGACGAAAGUCGGUCUUAGUGAUCCGGUGGUUCUGUGUGGAAGGGCCAUCGCUCAAAGGAUAAAAGGUACCCCGGGGAUAACAGGCUGAUCUCCCCCAAGAGCUCACAUCGACGGGGAGGUUUGGCACCUCGAUGUCGGCUCAUCGCAUCCUGGGGCUGGAGCAGGUCCCAAGGGUAUGGCUGUUCGCCAUUUAAAGCGGUACGCGAGCUGGGUUCAGAACGUCGUGAGACAGUUCGGUCCCUAUCUGCCGUGGGCGUAAGAAGAUUGAAGAGAUUUGACCCUAGUACGAGAGGACCGGGUUGAACAAACCACUGGUGUAGCUGUUGUUCUGCCAAGAGCAUCGCAGCGUAGCUAAGUUUGGAAAGGAUAAACGCUGAAAGCAUCUAAGCGUGAAGCCAACUCUAAGAUGAAUCUUCUCUAAGCUCUCUAGAAGACUACUAGUUUGAUAGGCUGGGUGUGUAAUGGAUGAAAGUCCUUUAGCUGACCAGUACUAAUAGAGCGUUUGGCUUAUCUUUAAUAAAGCAU